rnacentral:rRNA from 1 species
CCUACGUGCGGCUGUAGUGGGGAAUAUUGGACAAUGGGCGAAAGCCUGAUCCAGCCAUGCCGCGUGUGUGAAGAAGGCCUUCGGGUUGUAAAGCACUUUCAGUGGGGAAGAAAGCCUUGGGGCUAAUACCCUCGAGGAAGGACAUCACCCACAGAAGAAGCACCGGCUAACUCCGUGCCAGCAGCCGCGGUAAUACGGAGGGUGCGAGCGUUAAUCGGAAUUACUGGGCGUAAAGCGCGCGUAGGCGGUCUGAUAAGCCGGUUGUGAAAGCCCCGGGCUCAACCUGGGAACGGCAUCCGGAACUGUCAGGCUAGAGUGCAGGAGAGGAAGGUAGAAUUCCCGGUGUAGCGGUGAAAUGCGUAGAGAUCGGGAGGAAUACCAGUGGCGAAGGCGGCCUUCUGGACUGACACUGACGCUGAGGUGCGAAAGCGUGGGUAGCAAACAGGAUUAGAUACCCGGGUAGUC